rnacentral:rRNA from 1 species
AGUGAACGCUGGCGGUAGGCCUAACACAUGCAAGUCGAACGGCAGCACAGUAAGAGCUUGCUCUUACGGGUGGCGAGUGGCGGACGGGUGAGGAAUACAUCGGAAUCUACUUUUUCGUGGGGGAUAACGUAGGGAAACUUACGCUAAUACCGCAUACGACCUACGGGUGAAAGCAGGGGAUCUUCGGACCUUGCGCGAUUGAAUGAGCCGAUGUCGGAUUAGCUAGUUGGCGGGGUAAAGGCCCACCAAGGCGACGAUCCGUAGCUGGUCUGAGAGGAUGAUCAGCCACACUGGAACUGAGACACGGUCCAGACUCCUACGGGAGGCAGCAGUGGGGAAUAUUGGACAAUGGGCGCAAGCCUGACCCAGCCAUACCGCGUGGGUGAAGAAGGCCUUCGGGUUGUAAAGCCCUGUUGUUGGGAAAGAAAAGCAGCAGGUUAAUACCCCGCUGUUCUGACGGUACCCAAAGAAUAAGCACCGGCUAACUUCGUG